UAGUUCAUACAUAGUCAAGGCGCUCGCGAGAGCUUAAUAGGGAAAUCGGUGCAAGCCCGAUGCGAUCCCGUCACUGUGAUGCGGAGGAUGUUCCAUGAUGUCACUGGAGGAAACUCUGGGAAGGCGGAACAGACGAUGAUGCAGAGCCAGGAGACCUGCCUUGAUUUGUGAAACCAC
rnacentral:ncRNA from 2 species